CAUAAGAAGCACAAACAUCGUCACAAGGACAGAAGCAAAGACAAAGACAAAGACAAAGACAAAAAGAAAGAUAAAAGCGGGCAUCGCGAUUCCAGUGCUGAUCACUCAAAGAAACACCACGAAAAGAAAAGGAAGCACGAUGGAGACGAUGAUGUUAAUGAUAUUCACAAACACAAAAAGAGUAAGCAUAAGAGCUCAAGGAUCGAUGAAUUGGGGGCAAUAAAGGUUGCAGGCUAGAAUAGUUAUGUACUUAGUUCACUCUCUUUUCCUCAAUUGGUUGUUAUCAUUUGUUAAAAGUGUGGAGGAGACUAUCGCUUGACAUUACAACAUUUCUUGAGAGUAGCUAGGGGACCUGACUUAUGAUUUUAUCAUGAUGGUGAAUUCACCUGAUGAUGAUGGAAAAGGAUGAAGGUAAAACAUAUGCUGAAGAUAAAACUAUUUUUGUAUAAUAACAAUUAUCUCACCUUAUAGAUUUGCUAGUAAUUUUUCAAAACUUUUGGUCUUCCUUUUCUCAGUUUUUGGAGCACAGGAUAUCUAUCUCAACAUGUAUGCAUUGUUUUGAUUUUUAUUUAUUUUUUUAAUAUAAAAAAUAUUCUGUAGUUUAUAUAAUUUAAUUUUGAUGAGUCUUUAACUAGAAGUUUCUUGUUUAGGAUAUAACUGAAAUAACUAUGGGAGGUUUUGUGUGUAUAUAUCGAUAAUAACUUUCUCCCAUACUAACGGUAGAUUGGUCCACCUAUUGAUAUAAAAGCAGCAUUUAUUUAACA